GCACAAGCGGUGGAGCAUGUGGUUUAAUUCGACGCUACGCGAAGAACCUUACCUGGGCUUGAACUGCUGGAGGUAGGAGCCCGAAAGGGUAACGACCCGGAGCAAUCCGGGAACCAGCAGAGGUGCUGCAUGGCUGUCGUCAGCUCGUGUCGUGAGAUGUUGGGUUAAGUCCCGCAACGAGCGCAACCCUUGCCCUUAGUUGCCAGCGGGUAAUGCCGGGCACUCUAAGGGGACCGCCCCGGAUAACGGGGAGGAAGGCGGGGAUGACGUCAAGUCAGCAUGGCCUUUAUGUCCAGGGCUACACACGUGCUACAAUGGGCGGUACAGAGGGAGGCAAAGCCGCGAGGUAGAGCUAAUCCCUAAAGCCGUCCUCAGUUCGGAUCGCAGGCUGCAACUCGCCUGCGUGAAGUCGGAAUCGCUAGUAAUCGCGGAUCAGCUACGCCGCGGUGAAUACGUUCUCGGGCCUUGUACACACCGCCCGUCACAUCACGAAAGCUGGUCUCGCCCGAAGUCGCUGAGCUAACCCGCAAGGGAGGCAGGCGCCGAAGGCGAGGUCGGUGAUUGGGGUG
rnacentral:rRNA from 1 species